rnacentral:rRNA from 1 species
GUGGGGAAUUUUGCGCAAUGGACGAAAGUCUGACGCAGCGACGCCGCGUGAGUGAAGAAGGCCUGCGGGUUGUAAAGCUCUGUCGAGAGGGACGAAAACCCCCUGGAAUAAUACCCAGGGGCUUGACGGUACCUCUAAAGGAAGCACCGGCCAACUCCGUGCCAGCAGCCGCGGUAAUACGGAGGGUGCAAGCGUUGCUCGGAAUCAUUGGGCGUAAAGGGGAGGUAGGCGGUCUCGCGUGUCUGGGGUGAAAGCCCAGGGCUUAACCUUGGAAGUGCCUCAUAAACUGCGAGACUGGAGUCCCAGAGAGGGUCGUGGAAUUCCCGGUGUAGCGGUGAAAUGCGUAGAGAUCGGGAGGAACACCAGAGGCGAAGGCGGCGACCUGGAUGGGUACUGACGCUAAACUCCGAAAGCGUGGGGAGCAAACAGGAUUAGAUACCCCAGUAGUCC